rnacentral:rRNA from 1 species
CUGCUCAAUGAUUUUUUAAAUUGCUGUGGUAUUUUGACUAUACAAAGGUAUUGAAAUAAGACUUUAAUUGAGUGCUAAGAGAAUGGAAUUUCAAAAAAUUUCUUUUUUGAAUUUAAAAAUUAAAGUUAUUUUUAUUUGUGAAGAAACAAUAAUAUAAAUUAAGGACAAGAAGACCCUAAGAAUUUUUAUUAGCUUUAUUUAAAGACUUAAAAUAAAGUUAAUUUAAUUGGGGCGAUUUAAAAAUAUAAUUAACUUUUUUUAAAAAAAAAAAGACCCAAUUAUUAAUGAUAAAUUGAAUAAAUAC